CCUACGGGGGGCAGCAGUGAGGAAUAUUGGUCAAUGGGCGCGAGCCUGAACCAGCCAAGUAGCGUGAAGGAUGACUGCCCUACGGGUGGUAAACUUCUUUUAUAAAGGAAUAAAGUGAGGCACGUGUGCCUUUUUGUAUGUACUUUAUGAAUAAGGAUAGGCUAACUCCGUGCCAGCAGACGAGGUAAUACGGAGGAUCCGAGCGUUAUCCGGAUUUAUUGGGGUUAAAGGGAGAGUAGAUGGGUUGUUAAGUCAGUUGUGAAAGUUUGCGGCUCAACCGUAAAAUUGCAAUUGAUACUGGCAGCAUGGAGUACAGUUGAGGUAGGCGGAAUUCGUGGUGUAGCGGUGAAAUGCUUAGAUAUCACGAAGAACUCCGAUUGCGAAGGCAGCCUACUAAACUGCAACUGACAUUGAUGCUCGAAAGUGUGGGUAUCAAACAGGAUUAGAUACCCUUGUAGUC
rnacentral:rRNA from 1 species